rnacentral:rRNA from 1 species
CCUACGGGUGACAGCAGUGAGGAAUAUUGGGCAAUGGGCGCGAGCCUGAACCAGCCAAGUCGCGUGAGGGAAGACGGUCCUAUGGAUUGUAAACCUCUUUUGUCGGGGAGCAAAAGACGCCACGCGUGGCGUUCCGAGAGUACCUGAAGAAAAAGCAUCGGCAAACUCCGUGCCGGCAGCCGCGGUAAUACGGAGGAUGCGAGCGUUAUCCGGAUUGAUUGGGUUAAAGGGGUGCGCAGGCGGAAGAUCAAGUCAGCGGUAAAAUUGAGAGGCUCAACCUCUGCGAGCCGUUGAAACUGGUUGUCUUGAGGGAGUGAGAGGUAUGCGGAAUGCGUGGUGUAGCGGUGAAAUGCAUAGAUAUCACGCAGAACUCCGGUUGCGAAGGCGGCAUACCGGCGCUCAACUGACGCUCAUGCGCGAAAGUGUGGGUAGCGAACAGGAUUAGAUACCCGUGUAGUC